rnacentral:lncRNA from 13 species
CUGUGACGGUAUGAUUUGAUAUAGAGGUGAUGGGUGAUCUUAUGGGGACCUAUUGGUCAGGCAGCGACUGACUUCAGUUUAACUGAAGAUGAACUGUUCUGUUGCUUUCUGUUCUAACUCACCAACACCAUCAUGGUCAUAUCCAGAGGUGAUGCUGGUCUAUACAGGUGUGAAUUACACACGGCUGUGGGUCAUUCUAUCAAUGUUAUCGUCUCAGAGAGAAUUGAAGACACCACAGAUUUAUAUCAGAACAAUGAAACAAACAGUACAGCGAGUCAGAGUGACAGCUUCCGGGAGUGGGUGUGGCCUUAUGUUUACUCCUCGGCUGGGAUUGUGGUGUUUGUCAUCGUGGUGAUAACCAUAUCCAUGCUCUCAAUGCGUGGUUGUAAAAGUAAGAUGCUCACAAUUACCAUAGCACAUUAAUACAGACUAAUGAUGACCAUAGCACAUUAAUACAGACUAAUGAUGACCAUAGCACAUUAAUACAGACUAAUGAUGACCAUAGCACAUUAAUACAGACUAAUAAUGACCAUAGUACAUUAAUACAGACUAAUGAUGACCAUAGUACAUUCAUACAGACUAAUGAUGACCAUAGCACAUUAAUACAGACUAAUGAUGACCAUAGCACAUUAAUACAGACUAAUGAUGACCAUAGCACAUUAACACAGACUAAUAAUGACCAUAGUACAUUAAUACAGACGAAUGAUGACCAUAGCACAUUAAAACAGACUAAUAAUGACCAUAGUACAUUAAUACAGACGAAUGAUGACCAUAGUACAUUAAUACAGACUAAUGAGGAUCAUAGUACAUUAAUACAGACAUUUAUUUCUGGGAUAUGACUUUUCAUUUCAAUGUUUCGUUCAUGAUUCCCUUGAAAUUGCAGGUGCCUGUCCGGCCAGGAAGUCAAGGAAAGAGGACCAAACAGAGAACCAGGUCAAACAGAUAUACACUACACAUCUAACUUUAAUUUAGUCCUGUAUUAGUACUAUUAGUACAGAUUCUGGAUGGUCUUUAAUGUGUUUACAGUAUGUAACAUGGUGGAGUCUUUUGGUGCACUCCUUGUCUGUCAGUCCCAGGUGUUGUGUCUCUGACUGAUGCAAUUAUAUGACAGGCUAUUUUAUCAAAUCGAUUACCUAACGUUUGAUUACGUGAUUGAAUUAAACCAUGCAACAAUUAACUCGUUAAUAACCUGGGGCACCACGGAAGAGUGUUUAUAGAGUUGCUCUUUUCCGAAUAAACUCUUAAAGAUCUGAAGAUCUUUUAUAAUCAAUAGCAGUCAAUUAUUAAUCAUCACCUUAUUUAGUCUCAUCUGAACGUCGUAAAAUUCUUGAUUAUCUGCACGAACCCUGGCUAACAAGUUGAAUCAGCAAUACAAAAUUUGGCUUAAUUAUUUAUUUACUAAAUACCUAAAUAAUCACACAGAAUUACAUAUACACAGGAUAGAUCAUACAUUGAUUACUAAUCAUGUCAUAAAAGCAAAAGUCCCUAGCGGAUGAAACCGAUAUGACGGCUGGUUACCCAAAGAAAGGGGGUUGGGUUUGAAUGAAAGAGCGGGAUAACUGAGGGACAAAGGGGAUUGGGUCUCUAUCGGACCUUGAGAAGCCAUGCUACCGUAAAUAUAGAAUCUUAUGCAUUCUAAUAAUCAUCCAUUCGGAAAUUGAAAAUGCAAGAUAUAUAUUUACACUGAGCUGCGCUUCGAUAGAUGGUUUGAAGAUGGAAGACUGGUUUGCCCAGCAGAUAUCUCCAUUGUCCUUUGAAGAAUCUUUCUGGUUGUAGUGUUGUAGAGCGGAUACGUUGAAGUAGCCUGUCGUUCUCAGGAGAUCGUCUGUCCUUUGAAGAAUCUUUCUG